rnacentral:rRNA from 1 species
UGCAGUCGACGAUGAAGCCCUUCGGGGUGGAUUAGUGGCGAACGGGUGAGUAACACGUGGGCAAUCUGCCCUGCACUCUGGGACAAGCCCUGGAAACGGGGUCUAAUACCGGAUAUGACCGUCCAUCGCAUGGUGGAUGGUGUAAAGCUCCGGCGGUGCAGGAUGAGCCCGCGGCCUAUCAGCUAGUUGGUGAGGUAGUGGCUCACCAAGGCGACGACGGGUAGCCGGCCUGAGAGGGCGACCGGCCACACUGGGACUGAGACACGGCCCAGACUCCUACGGGAGGCAGCAGUGGGGAAUAUUGCACAAUGGGCGAAAGCCUGAUGCAGCGACGCCGCGUGAGGGAUGACGGCCUUCGGGUUGUAAACCUCUUUCAGCAGGGAAGAAGCGAAAGUGACGGUACCUGCAGAAGAAGCGCCGGCUAACUACGUGCCAGCAGCCGCGGUAAUACGUAGGGCGCAAGCGUUGUCCGGAAUUAUUGGGCGUAAAGAGCUCGUAGGCGGCUUGUCACGUCGGUUGUGAAAGCCCGGGGCUUAACCCCGGGUCUGCAGUCGAUACGGGCAGGCUAGAGUUCGGUAGGGGAGAUCGGAAUUCCUGGUGUAGCGGUGAAAUGCGCAGAUAUCAGGAGGAACACCGGUGGCGAAGGCGGAUCUCUGGGCCGAUACUGACGCUGAGGAGCGAAAGCGU